AUUUUGAAGGCUAAUUGGAAUUCUGAACUCCUUUUAUUGCUCUAAUUUGCUUUAAAUCUAUAUAGACUGUAAGGUAGAAAUAUUUAUAUUCAGCAUUCUUGAAUAAAAGUUUUUGAAAAGUUGAGGUAUCUGAUAAAACCAAGAAGCUGAAGUAAGACAGUAACAGCUUAUGGGCCAAAACACAGGCAUUCAUAUGGUUGAUAAAUUUGAACUGUGUGUACAGACAAGUUUUACAAAACUUUUUUUUUUUUUAAUAUGUGUAUGGGGAGAGACACAGAUGGGGAGGAAGAGAAGCACCAUAUGAAGCUGACAGAGAAGGCAGAAGGAAGCAUAUGUUGUGACACAAAAACUAUAACCCUGAAGAAAGCUGAGGCUGGUUGGCCGUGACAUGAUCUCGAUGCUUAGCAGCACUGAUGAGGUGAUCACACAUCUUCUCCUCCUCUCUCCGGUCCGCAGCAUACUGAGCGCACUGCGACUGGGGAUGAAAGAACAUCCACUUCAUUAAAGACAGGUUACUUAUGAUCGCCUUAAAAUUAUUAUUUAUUUAACUCUCUGAUUAUGAAAAGAAUUCAUUAAAGUGUUUUUUAGAAGGA